CUAAUUUUCUUGAUUCAUUAGGAUUCCUUUUCUGCUGGGUGCCCAGUGUGUAAGAGCUGUGAACAGCAACCACCUCGAUAGUAUAUGUGGCCUGUUGCUUGUUCAGGCUGUCCUAAGGGAUCUUGGAGACACUG
ensembl:snoRNA SNORA70 Small nucleolar RNA SNORA70